ACGGGAGGCAGCAGUGGGGAAUAUUGCACAAUGGGCGCAAGCCUGAUGCAGCCAUGCCGCGUGUGUGAAGAAGGCCUUCGGGUUGUAAAGCACUUUCAGUAAGGAGGAAAGGUUGGAUGUUAAUAGCAUUCAGCUGUGACGUUACUUACAGAAGAAGCACCGGCUAACUCCGUGCCAGCAGCCGCGGUAAUACGGAGGGUGCGAGCGUUAAUCGGAAUUACUGGGCGUAAAGCGUACGCAGGCGGUUUGUUAAGCGAGAUGUGAAAGCCCCGGGCUCAACCUGGGAACUGCAUUUCGAACUGGCAAACUAGAGUGUGAUAGAGGGUGGUAGAAUUUCAGGUGUAGCGGUGAAAUGCGUAGAGAUCUGAAGGAAUACCGAUGGCGAAGGCAGCCACCUGGGUCAACACUGACGCUCAUGUACGAAAGCGUGGGGAGCAAACAGGAUUAGAUACCCUGGUAGUCCACGCCGUAAACGAUGUCUACUAGAAGCUCGGUUCCUCGGAACUGUUUUUCAAAGCUAACGCAUUAAGUAGACCGCCUGGGGAGUACGGCCGCAAGGUUAAAACUCAAAUGAAUUGACGGGGGCCCGCACAAGCGGUGGAGCAUGUGGUUUAAUUCGAUGCAACGCGAAGAACCUUACCUACAC
rnacentral:rRNA from 1 species